rnacentral:rRNA from 1 species
AAGAACAGAAAGUCUGUUCGACUUUUAAAAACUNACAUGAUUUGAGUUCAGACCGGCGUGAGCCAGGUCGGUUUCUAUCCUCUUUUCAAAGAUUUCAGUACGAAAGGACAAAGUCUUUAGUUAUUCAC